rnacentral:rRNA from 1 species
GACGAACGCUGGCGGCGUGCCUAAUACAUGCAAGUAGAACGCUGAAGGAGGAGCUUGCUCUUCUGGAUGAGUUGCGAACGGGUGAGUAACGCGUAGGUAACCUGCCUGGUAGCGGGGGAUAACUAUUGGAAACGAUAGCUAAUACCGCAUAAGAGUAGAUGUUGCAUGACAUUUACUUAAAAGGUGCAAUUGCAUCACUACCAGAUGGACCUGCGUUGUAUUAGCUAGUUGGUGGGGUAACGGCUUACCAAGGCGACGAUACAUAGCCGACCUGAGAGGGUGAUCGGCCAAACUGGGAAUGAGACACGGCCCAGACUCCUACGGGAGGCAGCAGUAGGGAAUCUUCGGCAAUGGACGGAAGUCUGACCGAGCAACGCCGCGUGAGUGAAGAAGGUUUUCGGAUCGUAAAGCUCUGUUGUAAGAGAAGAACGAGUGUGAGAGUGGAAAGUUCACACUGUGACGGUAUCUGACCAGAAAGGGACGGCUAACUACGUG